ensembl:lncRNA
AACCAGCCGCUCUGGCUGAGGAGAGCUCGACGCUCGGGUCCUUGGAAUGUUGUAGUUUAUUUCCCAAGCUGCUGAGACAAACCUGAAGUUUGUCAGAAAUGAUUUACUCUCUUCUUCCAUUUGGGUUUCCCCACCUCCGCUUAAGAUUUCAGACUAUUUCAGAAGACCUUGGAUUUGAUUACAAUAACCUGUACUGAUGUUGUCAAGGAAGAAACGCUCAUGAGUUUCUACCUAUUCAUGUUUCCUACAAAAGAACAAGGAUCACAAAACCACAACUUUCACGUUGGUUUUAGGGGAGGGACGGAGGAGUAUUAUUCUCAGAGCUAAGUGUGGACUUGAUGCCUGUUUGCAUAAUUAAAUGAGACAAGAACAAUAAACUGGAAUUAGCCUGUCUGAAGGUCAAAAGCUCUGGAGGGAGUUCUUCCCUUGUCUACAAGGGAUCUAGGUCAGUUAAAAGCAGUACAAAGCCAGAACUGCUGCUUUUCUGUGUUAUCUAGCUGGGAAUUGGAGUUGUUCCUAGAUUUUGUUUUAUCAUAGGCAUAAGCUGUAGUAGUGAAGUGGUUGUCGUCGUCCAUCUGUUGAUACUCAUUGCUGUUCCAGUUGCAGUCUCUGCAGCUGUUUUAGAACUGUGCAAUGCACAUUGUGUGUGACAGGCAAAGCCAUGCUUUUCAGGGGUGAAAGCACAGGAUAUUAAUUGGAACUGAAUAUUUUUGUUCCAAAUGUGGUUGUCUGUCAUAGACAAUGGGAUGGAUACAGGUGUGAGCUGGUGAUGAGGCUUCAGUCUUGAAUGUGGUCCUUGAAAGUAACAUCUGCAACUUCUGAUUCUGGGCCUGACUUGCCCAGAUUUUUCUCCAGUGAGCUCUGAUUUCAGCUUCACUAGAAGGAAUUGUGCUUCUGCGGCCUCAAGUGAAGUAUCUCAGGGCUUAUCUCAUGUUGGGAUGUAGGACUGUGCCAUCAAAGCUUUUCUUUGCAUGAGCCCUUUGCAUCAGCAGCUGGAAUGUCUCAACAGUACUGUGAUUUUUCCACUGUGUUUGUUACUCCAAAUCACAUGGAGCUGACUGCAAGUUUUGCAUGGGCAACAAAAGCAAAGCUCUCUUUUGCCAGCUAGGAAUCUGACCCCGGAUGCUGCACCCAGGAGCGUGUUUGGGGCCGGCUGCAGGAGGAUUCUGUAGGCUGGAUCUCUGGGCAGGUCCCAGUGUGGAAGCAAUGAUGCAGGAAAGUCUUCAUCUGGCUGCUGCUCACUUGGAACUUCUUGCAGAUGUGCUGGACCUGACAUCUGAAAAUCUUAGCCGUGCUGUCCAGUUAUGAAUCCCUGAAGAUUACAGAUUUGAAGGGGCUAAUGUUGAAAUGAGACCUUCUAUCUUCUCUUGAGUUCUUUCUGGAUGACAGCACCAUUCAUUGAAGAAGCUUCAAGUAGACUAAGGAGUUUGGAUAGGAAACUCUCAUGAGAAAACUAAAAAACUGUGGUACCAAUGUGGACAGAGGAUUCAUAUUGCUAAGAAGUUUUCAUGCCUUGCUUUUUUUAACCUGAGUUACCAGAAAUCAUAUCCUACAUGGUCUCUCACUGAUUGCAUGGACAUGAACACCACCUAAGGGUGAGAUUUUUCUUGAUGCUAAUCUAUGAGUCUGCUUUAGUUCUCCAACAUCCAUUUGUGAUCGUCAUCUUGGUGCUCUCAAGUCUCCUUGUUAUGCCUUCACCAGUACUGUGAACCACAAACACAAUGCCUAACAAAAGCUCCAUGGCUGUGGAGGGGCAGCUGGCUGGCAUGUUUUUUCUUCUCUAUGCAGAGCAAGAGUAUUGCUGCUCAGAGAGGAAGCGUACUCCAUCAAAACAUGGCUCUCCUUCCACUGCAGAACAUGGAACUUGCUCUACAAGGAGUUGGAGUGGAGCUCUUCUCACGCCUUUCACAGAUUUUAUGCUAAACAAUUCUGUUGGGUCCAUGGAAAAGCCAAAGGCACUGAUCUUUUGGUUGAUGAUUGCACAGAAGUCUGUGGAGAAGUAGUAUCGUGCUGUUGUGCAAGGUGGGUUCCAUCCUGAGAGCUGCCUUCUGCAAAUCUGGGAUAGUGUUGUUGCAGCAGAUGACUUUUCUUGUUGGUUCCUGGGAACAAGCCUGCCCUGUUACGUGUGACCUUGCCACCUCCCUUGGAGCCUUUCAGGCUGCUUUCCCUCCCAGCUUCUGUUUUUCUGGUAGGCAUUAAAUCAGAGUGGCAGCUGGCCAGCAAUGCCCUUUAAGAACAGUACUUAGUGUAACGUUGUCUUUUUGGCCAACGUUUUUUUAAAUGUACUACACUGCUUUUCUUUAAUAGCCAUAACUGUUGGGAGAAAAAUGCAGAAAUGAAGCAGACUAGGAAGUAUAAACCUAAAUCUGUAGCCUGUGUGAAGUUAUGCAAUGGCGUGAUUUUCAGCAACAAACCUUGUGUGAAGGGCUGAAAUUUCUUUCUUUCUUUCUUUUUUUUUUUUUUAGUAGUAAGAAAGUCGACUGACAAAACCAAAAUGAAGAGAAGAAAAUCAUACUCCCAUAUGAACUGCCAAGAGAGCGCAUAAUAGCUGCACUUAUUUUAUUAGCCUUCUGACCUUUCCUUUCUCUGAUGAGGUUUCUUUUUCCUAUUAGCUCUACUAGGAUGUCUACUGAGAUGGCAACAAAACAAACACUGUUUUUGUUGGCUAAUUUAUCUUUUCUGUGCGCAGGGAUCGCAGACAUGGAGGCCACGAGGCGAUGCCUGCCUUGCAGCAUUCACAAGAACCACCCUGUGCCAUUGGGUACUGGGAAGAACACUGCCGUGUUGAGGGCAACGCAUCCAUGCUCACGCAGCAAUUCAAGUCAUGCUUGACUUGGAGCCUGCAAGCAGUUUCCUUGCCUCCAAUGGAAGAGUGUCAUUUUGUUUGACACCAUUCAUGUAUUUUUGUACAGAUACGGUAUUUCUUCUUCACUUCUUUAGCAGCUGCUCUACAACAUUGCUUUCUCUGGAAAUUAUUAGUGCCAGACUG